AUGGCCGCGCCGUGCACUUCCACCACAGACGACCGGUUGGCCGUCCUCCUGGAGGAGAUCUUCCUCCGGCUACCCACCCCAGCCGACCUCGUCCACGCCUCCGCCGCCUGCGUCCCCUUCCGCCAGAUCGCCACCGGCAACUCCUUCCUUCGCCGCUUCCGUAAGGAACACUCUCCCUCCUUCAUCGGCUUCAUGGACUGGCACGGCUUCCGCCCCGCGCUCCCUCCUCACACCACCGCGCCCAUAGCCAGUGCAGUCCCCCGCGCUGCUGACUUCACCUUCUCCUUCCUCCCUAGCCCCACCCCCUACACGCUGCUCCCAGACCCCGGCUGCUGGUGCGUCCGCAGCAUUCGCGACGGCCGCGUCCUCCUCGACCGAGGCCACAAGAGAGACUAUGGUUCAGUCCUCUUCCCGGAGCUCGUGGUGUGUGACCCGUUACACCGGCGAUACCACCUGCUUCCACCGAUCCCUGACGACCUAGCCGCGUCGGUGAGGGACGCACUCCAUCUGACUUACCAGCGCAGCUGUGAGGUCAUCCUCGUUCCUCCCGGCAAGGAAGUGGACAAGGAAGAGUACGAAACUUCAUUUCGUGUAAUCCGGAUGGCACAGUGCAAGACCAAGGUGGUGGCAUUUUUCUAUUCUUCAACCACGGGGCAGUGGCAAUCCAUUGCAUCAAAGGCUUGGAGCGAUUUGUUAGUCUGCGGCAUGCCAAUUGUAUCUUUGAAAUACCGUUUGUUCUACCAUAGUCAUUAUGCCUACGGAUGUUUGUACUGGCCGAUGACGAAUGGGAUAGAAUUUGGGCUGAAGAAUCGUCCGAGGGAAGCUAUGCUCAUGCUUGACACCAUGACAAUGGAGUUCUCCGUUGCUGAUUAUCCACCUGGAAGAUGGAGAGGGUUCCAGGUUGGCGUCGUGGAGGCAGGGGAAGGCAGGCUUGGAUUGCUCACUUUCUCAAUUAAUGAUGCAGCAUCACAACUUCGUUAUAUGGUUAGGCAAAACACAGAUGGGAGUAACAAUGAGUGGCAGUUGGAGAAGAUAAUCCCCUUGGGUUCGGGCAAUCAUUCUAUUGUUGCUUCAACCGAGAGGUACUUGCUCCUCCUAAGGUUAGAUUUUGGGACAGACCACUCUGAAGGUCUCUCAUUAGAUGUCAAGACAUUUCAGCUUGAGAGGGUGUGUGAGCUAUCUGACGUUACAAGCAGGUCAAUAUAUACCAGCUUCCCUCCAUCACUGUCAUCCAGGACAGUAUGA
rnacentral:rRNA from 1 species